rnacentral:rRNA from 1 species
UACGUAGGGUGCGAGCGUUAAUCGGAAUUACUGGGCGUAAAGCGUGCGCAGGCGGUUCGUUAAGUCAGAUGUGAAAGCCCCGGGCUCAACCUGGGAACUGCAUUUGAAACUGGCGGGCUUGAGUGUGGCAGAGGGGGGUGGAAUUCCGCGUGUAGCAGUGAAAUGCGUAGAGAUGCGGAGGAACACCGAUGGCGAAGGCAGCCCCUGGGCCAACACUGACGCUCAGGCACGAAAGCGUGGGGAGCAAACAGG